AGGAUUAUAGUUAAUAAUAACAUUUAAUUUGCAAUUAAAAAGUAUUGAUUUUUCAAUUUAUCUUU
rnacentral:tRNA from 1 species